AGAAUGAACGCUGGCGGCGCGCCUAAUACAUGCAAGUCGAGCGAGAAGACGUAGCAAUACGUUUGUAAAGCGGCGAACGGGUGAGGAAUACAUGGGUAACCUACCCUAGAGUGGGGAAUAACUAGCCGAAAGGUUAGCUAAUACCGCGUACGCUUCUUGGACUUCGGUUCAGGGAGGAAAGCGCUACCAAGGGUAGCGCGCUCUUGGAUGGGCUCAUGUCCUAUCAGCUUGUUGGUGAGGUAACGGCUCACCAAGGCUUCGACGGGUAGCUGGUCUGAGAGGACGAUCAGCCACACUGGCACUGCGACACGGGCCAGACUCCUACGGGAGGCAGCAGUAAGGAAUAUUGCGCAAUGGGCGAAAGCCUGACGCAGCGACGCCGCGUGGGGGAUGAAGGUCUUCGGAUUGUAAACCCCUUUCGGAGGAAGAUGGAAUGGGUAACCCAUUCGGACGGUACCUCCAGAAGCAGCCACGGCUAACGUCGUGCCAGCAGCCGCGGUAA
rnacentral:rRNA from 1 species